GCGGUCGUGGUGGAACGGUAGACACGCAACGUUGAGGUCGUUGUGCCCUAGGGUGUGGAGGUUCAAAUCCUCUCGACCGCACCA
rnacentral:tRNA from 1 species